rnacentral:rRNA from 1 species
CCAAUAGCGUAUAUUAAAGUUGUUGCAGUUAAAAAGCUCGUAGUUGAACUUCGGGGUUUGCUCAUUGGUCAGGCUUAAUUGUCUGUACUGGUGAGAUAAAUCUCUACCUUCUGAGGAACUUUCAUGCCAUUUAUUUGGUGUGAUGGGAAAUCAGGACUGUUACUUUGAAAAAAUUAGAGUGUUUAAAGCAGACUAACGUCUGAAUACAUUAGCAUGGAAUAAUGAAAUAGGACGGAUUGAUUCUAUUUCGUUGGUUUCUAGGAUCACCGUAAUGAUUAAUAGGGAUAGUUGGGGGCAUUAGUAUUCAAUUGUCAGAGGUGAAAUUCUUGGAUUUAUUGAAGACUAACUACUGCGAAAGCAUUUGCCAAGGAUGUUUUCAUUAAUCAAGAACGAAAGUUAGGGGAUCGAAGACGAUCAGAUACCGUCGUAGUCUUAACCAUAAACUAUGCCGACUAGGGAUCGGACGAAGUUAAUUUUAUAAUGACGCGUUCGGCACCUUACG